rnacentral:rRNA from 1 species
AAAUUCUGUGAUCCUAUGCUGCCGAGAAAAGCCUCUAGUGAGUUGGUACACGGCCCGUACCCCAAACCGACACAGGUGGUCAGGUAGAGAAUACUAAGGCGAUCGAGAUAACUGUGGUUAAGGAACUCGGCAAAUUACCCCCGUAACUUCGGGAGAAGGGGGACCACGUCUGGUGACGGCAUUUACUGUCUGAGCUGGGGGUGGUCGCAGAGACCAGAGAGAAGCGACUGUUUACUAAAAACACAGGUCCGUGCGAAGUCGUAAGACGAUGUAUACGGACUGACGCCUGCCCGGUGCUGGAAGGUUAAGAGGACCGGUUAGCAAACUUGUUGGCGAAGCUGAGAAUUUAAGCCCCAGUAAACGGCGGUGGUAACUAUAACCAUCCUAAGGUAGCGAAAUUCCUUGUCGGGUAAGUUCCGACCUGCACGAAUGGCGUAACGACUUCUCUGCUGUCUCAACCACAGACUCGGCGAAAUUGCAGUACGAGUAAAGAUGCUCGUUACGCGCGGCAGGACGAAAAGACCCCGGGACCUUCACUAUAGCUUGGUAUUGGUGUUCGGUACGGUUUGUGUAGGAUAGGUGGGAGACUGUGAAGUGGGCACGCUAGUGUUCGUGGAGUCAUUGUUGAAAUACCACUCUGAUCGUAUUGGGCUUCUAACCUCGGACCCUGAUCGGGUUCAGGGACAGUGCCUGGUGGGUAGUUUAACUGGGGCGGUUGCCUCCUAAAAUGUAACGGAGGCGCCCAAAGGUUCCCUCAGCCUGGAUGGCAAUCAGGUGUUGAGUGUAAGUGCACAAGGGAGCUUGACUGUGAGACGUACAUGUCGAGCAGGGACGAAAGUCGGGACUAGUGAUCCGGCACCGGCAAGUGGAAGCGGUGUCGCUCAGCGGAUAAAAGGUACCCCGGGGAUAACAGGCUGAUCUUCCCCAAGAGUCCAUAUCGACGGGAUGGUUUGGCACCUCGAUGUCGGCUCGUCGCAUCCUGGGGCUGGAGUAGGUCCCAAGGGUUGGGCUGUUCGCCCAUUAAAGCGGCACGCGAGCUGGGUUUAGAACGUCGUGAGACAGUUCGGUCUCUAUCCGCCGCGCGCGUCUAGAAACUUGAGGAAACCUGUCCCUAGUACGAGAGGACCGGGACGGACGAACCUCUGGUGUGCCAGUUGUUCCGCCAGGAGCACCGCUGGUUAGCUACGUUCGGAAGGGAUAACCGCUGAAAGCAUCUAAGCGGGAAGCCUGUUCCAAGAUGAGGUUUCUCACCG